CACCUCCUGAGAUCGCAUCUGGAGAGUGCCUAGUAUUCUGCCAGCUUCGGAAACAGGAGGGAGAGCAAGCCUAGCAGAGGCACCCAUUCCAUUCCCAGCUUGCUCAGUAACUGGUGAUUGGAAGACACUCUGCGACACCA
ensembl:snoRNA